GGCAAGAUGGCCGAGCGGUCUAAGGCGCUACGUUCAGGUUUGACCAGUUUCGUAGUCCGAAAGGGCGUGGGUUCGAAUCCCACUCUUGUCA
rnacentral:tRNA from 1 species